rnacentral:rRNA from 1 species
GGACGAACGCUGGCGGCGUGCUUAACACAUGCAAGUCGAACGGAAAGGCCCUGCUUUUGUGGGGUGCUCGAGUGGCGAACGGGUGAGUAACACGUGAGUAACCUGCCCUUGACUUUGGGAUAACUUCAGGAAACUGGGGCUAAUACCGGAAAGGAGCUCCUGCUGCAUGGUGGGGGUUGGAAAGUUUCGGCGGUUGGGGAUGGACUCGCGGCUUAUCAGCUUGUUGGUGGGGUAGUGGCUUACCAAGGCUUUGACGGGUAGCCGGCCUGAGAGGGUGACCGGCCACAUUGGGACUGAGAUACGGCCCAGACUCCUACGGGAGGCAGCAGUGGGGAAUAUUGCACAAUGGGCGGAAGCCUGAUGCAGCAACGCCGCGUGCGGGAUGACGGCCUUCGGGUUGUAAACCGCUUUCGCCUGUGACGAAGCGUGAGUGACGGUAAUGGGUAAAGAAGCACCGGCUAACUACGUG